AGAGUUUGAUCCUGGCUCAGGAUGAACGCUAGCUACAGGCUUAACACAUGCAAGUCGCGGGGCAGCAUGAAUUUAGCUUGCUAAAUUUGAUGGCGACCGGCGCACGGGUGAGUAACGCGUAUCCAACCUUCCCCUGUCCACGGGAUAGCCCGUCGAAAGGCGGAUUAAUACCGUAUGAGGUCACAUGACGGCAUCAGAGUGUGACGAAAGGUUUGGCGGACAGGGAUGGGGAUGCGUCCGAUUAGCUAGUUGGCGGGGUAACGGCCCACCAAGGCGACGAUCGGUAGGGGUUCUGAGAGGAAGGUCCCCCACAUUGGAACUGAGACACGGUCCAAACUCCUACGGGAGGCAGCAGUGAGGAAUAUUGGUCAAUGGGCGAGAGCCUGAACCAGCCAAGUAGCGUGCAGGACGACGGCCCUAUGGGUUGUAAACUGCUUUUAUGCGGGGAUAACGUGCGCCACGUGUGGUGUAUUGCAGGUACCGCAUGAAUAAGGACCGGCUAAUUCCGUGCCAGCAGCCGCGGUAAUACGGAAGGUCCGGGCGUUAUCCGGAUUUAUUGGGUUUAAAGGGAGCGUAGGCCGCUGUUUAAGCGUGUUGUGAAAAACCGGGGCUCAACUCCGGUCGUGCAGCGCGAACUGGACGGCUUGAGUGCGCGGUAAGUGGGCGGAAUUUGUGGUGUAGCGGUGAAAUGCUUAGAUAUCACGAAGAACUCCGAUUGCGAAGGCAGCUCACUGUAGCGCAACUGGCGCUGAAGCUCGAAAGUGCGGGUAUCGAACAGGAUUAGAUACCCUGGUAGUCCGCACGGUAAACGAUGGAUGCCCGCUGUUCCGGCAAUAGCUGGAGUGGCCAAGCGA
rnacentral:rRNA from 1 species